rnacentral:rRNA from 1 species
GAUGAACGCUGGCGGCGUGCCUAAUACAUGCAAGUCGAGCGAACAGAUGAGGUGCUUGCUCCUCUGACGUUAGCGGCGGACGGGUGAGUAACACGUGGAUAACCUACCUAUAAGACUGGGAUAACUUCGGGAAACCGGAGCUAAUACCGGAUAAUAUAUUUAACCGCAUGUUUCAAUAGUGAAAGACGGUUUUGCUGUCACUUAUAGAUGGAUCCGCGCCGCAUUAGCUAGUUGGUAAGGUAACGGCUUACCAAGGCAACGAUGCGUAGCCGACCUGAGAGGGUGAUCGGCCACACUGGAACUGAGACACGGUCCAGACUCCUACGGGAGGCAGCAGUAGGGAAUCUUCCGCAAUGGGCGAAAGCCUGACGGAGCAACGCCGCGUGAGUGAUGAAGGUCUUCGGAUCGUAAAACUCUGUUAUAAGGGAAGAACAAAUGUGUAAGUAAAAAUGCACGUCUUGACGGUACCUAAUCAGAAAGCCACGGCUAACUACGUG